CCCACCCAAUGUCUAAUUUAUGGAAUUUUCGCAUGCACAGUACUCAGAAAUCCGUGCUUUCAUGAGCUCUUCUUGCCUUGUUCGUUUUCAUCUUGGGAUGUCUAAUUGCUGAUUUCUCGAUUCUUCCUUUUAUUUCUGAAUAUUUACAGCAAGGAAUUUAAUGCAAAUGAAGCUAAUAACAAGUGGAAGCCACCACAGCGAACUGGCGUAAUUUUAUUGAAUUGUUGCUCUUGUACUCAUGCGGUUAUUCAGAAAUGAAUUUUGGCCGGUGAAGUAAUUUAUAUAGGAUGCAGCUUAUUUGAAUAAGCGGACAAAAGGCCUUCGAUCAGGACCUUUGUUCUCCUGCUUUUGGUCUGAAGCGCUCUGGGCUACCAAAGAAUUAAAGAUUUUCUAGUUAUACAACGCCAGAUCUUGUUGAAGACUGCAGUCAUGCUUUCUUGUUUAGUUGUGAGGUUUUAUGUUCUUUGUUUUUAGUGGUGAGGCUUAUGUGAAACAUGAGCUGGCUUCUCUAGAACAAUGGAUAUGGUGUAGCAGCUGAUUGCUUCGCGGAUUAAAUGUUCCCAUGUAUAGAUGGUUUUCUUAUUAACGAAGUGUGACCUUGUGGAGGAAUUAUAUAGCCUUCUGAAAUAAUCAUUGAUUAGUGUCUUUGUUUUUUUCUUAUUUCAUUUUCCCUUUUGAUUGAGUGGACUCUAAUUCACCAUGAUUGCUUAUGGUUUUGACUUGGGAGAGACACUUGGUGGUAUUGUGUUCAUUACAAAUCUCCUAAAAUA